CACGUAGGGGCCAAGCGUUGUCCGGAUUUAUUGGGCGUAAAGAGCUCGUAGGCGGUUCGACAAGUCGGGUGUGAAAACUCCGGGCUCAACCCGGAGACGCCACCCGAUACUGUCGUGACUGGAGUCCGGUAGGGGAGUGGGGAAUUCCUGGUGUAGCGGUGAAAUGCGCAGAUAUCAGGAGGAACACCGGUGGCGAAGGCGACGUCCUGGACCGGCAUUGACGCUGAGGCGCGAAAGCCAGGGGAGCAAACGGG
rnacentral:rRNA from 1 species